rnacentral:rRNA from 1 species
UACGGGGGGGGGCAAGCGUUGUUCGGAAUUACUGGGCGUAAAGGCUCGUAGGUGGCCAACUAAGUCACACGUGAAAUCCCUCGGCUUAACCGGGGACUGCGUUUGAUACUGGAUGGCUUGAGUUUGGGAGAGGGAUGCGGAAUUCCAGGUGUAGCGGUGAAAUGCGUAGAUAUCUGGAGGAACACCGGUGGCGAAGGCGGCAUCCUGGACCAAUACUGACGCUGAGGAGCGAAAGCCAGGGGAGCAAGCGGGAUUAAGAUGACCCGGGUAGUCCCGA